rnacentral:rRNA from 1 species
AGAGUUUGAUCAUGGCUUCAGGACGAACGCUGGCGGCGUGCUUAACACAUGCAAGUCGAACGAUGAAGCAGAGCUUGCUCUGCCGAUUAGUGGCGAACGGGUGAGGAACACGUGAGAAACCUGCCCCAGACUCUGGGAUAACAAUUAGAAAUGAUUGCUAAUACCGGAUGACGUCGGAGAACCGCAUGGUUCACUGACGAAAGGAAAUCCGGUUUGGGAGGGUCUCGCGACCUAUCAGCUUGUUGGCGGGGUAAUGGCCCACCAAGGCGUCGACGGGUAGCUGGUCUGAGAGGAUGAUCAGCCACACUGGGACUGAGACACGGCCCAGACUCCUACGGGAGGCAGCAGUGGGGAAUCUUGCGCAAUGGGCGAAAGCCUGACGCAGCAACGCCGCGUGCGGGAUGAAGGCCUUCGGGCUGUAAACCGCUUUCAGCAGGAACGAAAAUGACGGUACCUGCAGAAGAAGGAGCGGCCAACUACGUGCCAGCAGCCGCGGUAA